GACGAACGCUGGCGGCGUGCUUAACACAUGCAAGUCGAACGGAAAGGCCCUGCUUGCAGGGUACUCGAGUGGCGAACGGGUGAGUAACACGUGGGUGCUCUGCCCUGCACUUCGGGAUAAGCCUGGGAAACUGGGUCUAAUACCGGAUAGGAGCCAUUUUUAGUGUGAUGGUUGGAAAGUUUUUUCGGUGUAGGAUGAGCUCGCGGCCUAUCAGCUUGUUGGUGGGGUAAUGGCCUACCAAGGCGGCGACGGGUAGCCGGCCUGAGAGGGUGGACGGCCACAUUGGGACUGAGAUACGGCCCAGACUCCUACGGGUGGCAGCAGUGGGGAAUAUUGCACAAUGGGCGCAAGCCUGAUGCAGCGACGCCGCGUGGGGGAUGACGGCCUUCGGGUUGUAAACUCCUUUCGCUAGGGACGAAGCUUUUUGUGACGGUACCUAGAUAAGAAGCACCGGCUAACUACGUG
rnacentral:rRNA from 1 species